GACGAACGCUGGCGGCGUGCUUAACACAUGCAAGUCGAACGGUGAAGGGACCAGCUUGCUGGUUCUGGAUGAGUGGCGAACGGGUGAGUAACACGUGAGUAACCUGCCCCCUUCUUCUGGAUAACCGCAUGAAAGUGUGGCUAAUACGGGAUAUUCUGGGUCUGUCGCAUGGCGGGCCCGGGAAAGAUAUUGCUUCGGUGGGGGAUGGGCUCGCGGCCUAUCAGCUUGUUGGUGGGGUGAUGGCCUACCAAGGCGGUGACGGGUAGCCGGCCUGAGAGGGCGGACGGUCACACUGGGACUGAGACACGGCCCAGACUCCUACGGGAGGCAGCAGUGGGGAAUAUUGCACAAUGGGCGCAAGCCUGAUGCAGCGACGCCGCGUGAGGGAUGGAGGCCUUCGGGUUGUAAACCUCUUUCGCCAGUGAAGCAGGCCUGCUCCUUGUGGGUGGGUUGACGGUAGCUGGAUAAGAAGCGCCGGCUAACUACGUG
rnacentral:rRNA from 1 species